rnacentral:rRNA from 1 species
UACGUAGGGUGCGAGCGUUGUCCGGAAUUAUUGGGCGUAAAGGGCGCGUAGGCGGCCACGCACGUCCGUUGUGAAAUCGCCCGGCUCAACUGGGCGGGGUCAGCGGAUACGGUGUGGCUAGAGCAAGCUAGGGGGCAAUGGAAUUCCCGGUGUAGUGGUGGAAUGCGUAGAUAUCGGGAGGAACACCAGUGGCGAAGGCGGUUGCCUGGAGCUUUGCUGACGCUGAUGCGCGAAAGCGUGGGGAGCGAUCCGG